rnacentral:rRNA from 1 species
UACGUAGGUGGCAAGCGUUGUCCGGAUUUACUGGGCGUAAAGAGCGCGCAGGCGGUCGACCAAGUCGCGUGUGAAAGCCCCCGGCUCAACUGGGGAGGGUCACGCGAUACUGUUCGACUCGAAGGCAGGAGAGGGAAGUGGAAUUCCCGGUGUAGUGGUGAAAUGCGUAGAUAUCGGGAGGAACACCAGUGGCGAAGGCGACUUCCUGGCCUGUUCUUGACGCUGAGGCGCGAAAGCUAGGGGAGCGAACAGG